rnacentral:rRNA from 1 species
UACGUAGGGUGCAAGCGUUAAUCGGAAUUACUGGGCGUAAAGCGUGCGCAGGCGGCUUUGCAAGACAGAUGUGAAAUCCCCGGGCUCAACCUGGGAACUGCAUUUGUGACUGCAUGGCUAGAGUGCGGCAGAGGGGUAUGGAAUUCCGCGUGUAGCAGUGAAAUGCGUAGAUAUGCGGAGGAACACCGAUGGCGAAGGCAAUCCCCUGGGCCUGCACUGACGCUCAUGCACGAAAGCGUGGGGAGCAAACAGG